rnacentral:rRNA from 1 species
UACGUAGGGGGCAAGCGUUGUCCGGAUUUAUUGGGCGUAAAGAGCGUGUAGGCGGCCAUACAGGUCCGUUGUGAAAACUCGAGGCUCAACUUCGAGCUGUCGGUGGAAACUAUCUGGCUAGAGUCCGGAAGAGGAGAAUGGAAUUCCUGGUGUAGCGGUGAAAUGCGCAGAUAUCAGGAAGAACACCCGUGGCGAAGGCGGUUCUCUGGGACGGUACUGACGCUGAGA